rnacentral:ncRNA from 2 species
AGGCUGUCCCUGCAACUGUGAGCGGCGAGCGCGAUGUACAUGUGCGGACGGGCAAGGCUCGUGCCGCCAGCCACUGGGCCGGACGCUAACUCCUGCGAGGCCUGGGAAGGCCGUGCAUCAAGCUGUGACCCGCAAGCCAGGAGACCUGCCGAAGCACCGGUCGCUCU